rnacentral:rRNA from 1 species
GACGUAGGGCGCGAGCGUUGUCCGGAUUUAUUGGGCGUAAAGAGCGUGUAGGCGGCCAGAUAGGUCUGCUGUGAAAACUCGAGGCUCAACCUCGAGAUGUCGGCGGAAACCAUUUGGCUAGAGUCCGGAAGAGGAAAGUGGAAUUCCUGGUGUAGCGGUGAAAUGCGCAGAUAUCAGGAAGAACACCCGUGGCGAAGGCGGCUUUCUGGGACGGUACUGACGACUGGAGA